GGCGAACGCUAGCGGUACGCCUAACACAUGCAAGUCGAGCGGGAGUUUUUUAGAAGCUUGCUUCUGAAAAACAAGAGCGGCAAACGGGUGAGUAACACGUUGGUACUUGCCCCUUGGUCAGGGAUAGCCCAUCGAAAGAUGGAUUAAUACCGGAUAGUCUCUUCGGAGUAAAGAUUUAUCGCCAAGGGAGAGGCCUGCGUUCUAUCAGCUAGUUGGUGAGGUAAUGGCUUACCAAGGCUAUGACGGAUAACUGGUCUGAGAGGAUGAUCAGUCACAAUGGAACUGAGACACGGUCCAUACUCCUACGGGAGGCAGCAGUGAGGAAUAUUCCACAAUGGGCGAAAGCCUGAUGGAGCGAUACCGCGUGAAGGAUGAAGGUCUAACGAUUGUAAUCUUCUUUUCUGAGGGAGCAUAAUGAUAGUACCUCAGGAAUAAGGGACGGCUAAUUACGUGCCAGCAGCCGCGGUAAUACGUAAGUCCCAAGCGUUGCCCGGAAUUACUGGGUG
rnacentral:rRNA from 1 species